UACGUAGGGUGCAGGCGUUAAUCGGAAUUACUGGGCGUAAAGCGUGCGCAGGCGGUCUGCUAAGAGAGGUGUGAAGUCCCCGGGCUUAACCUGGGAACUGCGCUUCUAACUGGCAGGCUUGAGUGUGGCAGAGGGGGGUGGAAUUCCACGUGUAGCAGUGAAAUGCGUAGAGAUCCGGAAGAACACCUGAGGCGAAGGCGGCUUGCUGGGCAUGAUCUGACGCUGAGGCGCGAAAGCGUGGGGAGCAAACAGG
rnacentral:rRNA from 1 species